GAGGGUAUGGCUCAGUGGCAGAGUGCAUGCUCAGCACGCACAAGGUCCUGGGUUCAAUCCCCAGUCCCUCCA
rnacentral:tRNA from 1 species